AAAAGAACUUUGGAGAGAGAGUCAAAUAGUGCGUGAAACCGUUGGGAGGGAAGCGAAUGAGGCCGGCUCGGUCCUCUGCGGGAACAGGCAGAUCGAUGAGCGCCCUCUGGCGGAGGGAUCCCCCUGGGACCCGUCGCCGGUGGGACCGCUCGUCGCUCUCGACCGCACUCCCGCGUGGACCAGUCAGCGGCAGUUUCUGCUGCGCCGUGCGCCUCGCGGGGCAGUUGGCCGAGUCCUUCGGGUCUUGGUGUUGGCCCCUGGGGCGCGACGCGGCAGAGACUGAGGAGAGUGGCGGCCCUCGCCCGAGCAGCGCAAGCCGCAUGGCCGGACGGCUGCGACGACUGCGUCGGACCGGUGGGGACUGCGUGCAGUGCCCGCUGAGCGAGACGGAGGCGUCGCGGUGCAGUCACGAUGUGCGCUAAGGUCGCUGGCGCCUAGCCGGUCCCAUCCGACCCGUCUUG
rnacentral:sRNA from 1 species